GUGCUCACUUUGGCAGCACAUACACUAAAACUGAAGCAAUGCAGAGAAGAUUAGCAUGGCCCGUGAGCAAGAAUGACACACAAAUUCAUGAAGCAGUUUAUAAUUUU